rnacentral:pre_miRNA from 1 species
UCUUAUGGGCGAGCAAAGAAAGCGUUUCUUGAGAUGGAAUCCACUCCCGGUGAAGGUGCUGUGAA